rnacentral:piRNA from 1 species
UACCAUGGAUAGCCCAGUGCAAUUGAGAGGC